rnacentral:rRNA from 1 species
GAUGAACGCUGGCGGCGUGCCUAAUACAUGCAAGUCGAGCGAACAGACGAGGAGCUUGCUCCUCUGACGUUAGCGGCGGACGGGUGAGUAACACGUGGAUAACCUACCUAUAAGACUGGGAUAACUUCGGGAAACCGGAGCUAAUACCGGAUAAUAUAUUGAACCGCAUGGUUCAAUAGUGAAAGACGGUUUUGCUGUCACUUAUAGAUGGAUCCGCGCCGCAUUAGCUAGUUGGUAAGGUAACGGCUUACCAAGGCGACGAUGCGUAGCCGACCUGAGAGGGUGAGCGGCCACACUGGAACUGAGGCACGGUCCAGACUCCUACGGGAGGCAGCAGUAGGGAAUCUUCCGCAAUGGGCGAAAGCCUGACGGAGCAACGCCGCGUGAGUGAUGAAGGUCUUCUGAUCGUAAAACUCUGUUAUUAGGGAAGAACAAAUGUGUAAGUAACUAUGCACGUCUUGACGGUACCUAAUCAGAAAGCCACGGCUAACUACGUG